GUCCCCUCACCUCUGUGCCCCCUCAUGAUGGACAGGUCCCCUCACCUCUGUGCCACCCUCAUGAUGGACAGGUCGCUGAUGCGGCUGCAGUGAUCCAGAUUCAGCUCCAGCAGCCUGGAGGCAGAUGGGCUCUCCGUCAGGUUCCUCAGGACACCCAUGGCCUUGAGGCUGACGUCAGUCAUCCUGGGACACUGGGCGGCGUGGAGUCUGGUGAGGCCAGGGGAGCUGCGGCACAGAGCCUUCCAGCUGAUGUCAGUCAUGCGAGGGUUUCCUGCAAGAACACACACAGAUUUUUGUGUAGCCUCUGAAUUUGGUCCAAAGCCAGCUGCACCAAAACAUUCUCCAGGGGAGGGUUUAGGCAGAAGAAAGCCCACA